AUUGAACGCUGGCGGCAUGCCUUACACAUGCAAGUCGAACGGCAGCACGGGUGCUUGCACCUGGUGGCGAGUGGCGAACGGGUGAGUAAUACAUCGGAACGUACCUUAUCGUGGGGGAUAACGCAGCGAAAGCUGUGCUAAUACCGCAUACGCCCUGAGGGGGAAAGCGGGGGAUCGAAAGACCUCGCGCGAUUAGAGCGGCCGAUGCCUGAUUAGCUUGUUGGUGGGGUAAAAGCCCACCAAGGCGACGAUCAGUAGCUGGUCUGAGAGGACGAUCAGCCACACUGGGACUGAGACACGGCCCAGACUCCUACGGGAGGCAGCAGUGGGGAAUUUUGGACAAUGGGGGCAACCCUGAUCCAGCAAUGCCGCGUGAGUGAAGAAGGCCUUCGGGUCGUAAAGCUCUUUUGUCAGGGAAGAGACACCGGCUCUAACACAGUCCGGGAAUGACGGUACCUGAAGAAUAAGCACCGGCUAACUACGUGCCAGCAGCCGCCGCGG
rnacentral:rRNA from 1 species